UACGGAGGGUGCAAGCGUUGUUCGGAAUUACUGGGCGUAAAGCGGGUGUAGGCGGCCGCACAAGUCAGAUGUGAAAUCCCUGGGCCCAACCCAGGAACUGCAUUUGAUACUGCGUGGCUCGAGUCCCGGAGAGGAUGGCGGAAUUCCAGGUGUAGAGGUGAAAUUCGUAGAUAUCUGGAGGAACACCAGCGGCGAAGGCGGCCAUCUGGACGGUGACUGACGCUCAGACCCGAAAGCGUGGGGAGCAAACAGG
rnacentral:rRNA from 1 species